rnacentral:tRNA from 1 species
GCGGCAUGAAUACUGUUCAACGCCCCCGUGGGCGGACUCAUAAUCCGUUGGUUGUAGGUUCGAAUCCUACAAGUCCCA